rnacentral:rRNA from 1 species
AGCGUUGUUCGGAUUCAUUGGGCGUAAAGGGUGCGUAGGCGGCGCGGUAAGUCGGGUGUGAAAUCUCGGAGCUUAACUCCGAAACUGCAUUCGAUACUGCCGUGCUUGAGGACUGGAGAGGAGACUGGAAUUUACGGUGUAGCGGUGAAAUGCGUAGAUAUCGUAAGGAAGACCAGUCGCGAAGGCGGGUCUCUGGACAGUUCCUGACGCUGAGGCACGAAGGUCAGGGGAGCAAACGGG